rnacentral:rRNA from 1 species
GGGCCAAGCCUGAUGCAGCGACGCCGCGUGAGGGAUGGAGGCCUUCGGGUUGUAAACCUCUUUUAUCGGGGAGCAAGCGUGAGUGAGUUUACCCGUUGAAUAAGCACCGGCUAACUACGUGCCAGCAGCCGCGGUAAUACGUAGGGUGCAAGCGUUAUCCGGAAUUAUUGGGCGUAAAGGGCUCGUAGGCGGUUCGUCGCGUCCGGUGUGAAAGUCCAUCGCUUAACGGUGGAUCCGCGCCGGGUACGGGCGGGCUUGAGUGCGGUAGGGGAGACUGGAAUUCCCGGUGUAACGGUGGAAUGUGUAGAUAUCGGGAAGAACACC